UAGACAUGUUUAUUGUUAAAAAGAAAAGCAGACAAAAUACUUUUGAAAUAUGAAAUAAACAGUCAAACAGCAUUUUAACACCAGUAAUGACUGUACAACCCAGUAAAGUUUUACUAAACAUUUAAAAGCAUUCCAUCUAGCAAAUUAUAAUCAAAACCUGUCAAACACUUAUAUAAAUGCAAAAACAUGAAAUACACUUGAUAGAAACAUAUCUGGAAAUAAGCUCUAAGUUGCAGUAUUACUAUUUCUUCCUAUUAUUUAAUACUACUUUCACCUCAUGUCCAGUUUUAUGCGUAAGACUGUUUUUAUUAUAUUCUUUGCUCCUUUGCACUCAUCAUCAUACAGUUUAUUUCCCCACAUUUUUUGCACAGUUUCAAAAAUCAGAAUUUAGUAUCAGACAACCCCAUUUUCUCAGUGGGAGUUAUAGCAGCAACAUUUAUACUUCAAGGUCUUGUACUUAAAAGUGACAAAGGCCAUGUAUAUCUAUUACAGUCCAUAUUAGCCUAACUGUCAUCAUCAUCAUCACUACUACUGUGAGUCUUAGUCCACUCCCUGUAGGCCUGUCUUUUCUGAAAGCAUGGUAAAGGAAGAAGAAAGCAGAAGUGUUAGUUUUGAAGUAUUAGUUUGUCUGGCAAAUUUGUUAAUUAAAGCAAAAUAAAUCCCCAGAAAACAAAACAAUUCUGAAGUGACAUCCUACAGUAUGAGCACACAAAAUCUCCUAUAUUCUAUUUCCUUUAAUCAACAUAUACAACCUUUAAACCGCUAGAAGAAAUUUUAUUCCAAUCUAAUCCAGUAAUCGUCAAAAAUGCUACAACACAGUGACUGCAGUGGGACCAGUCACCAGACCUUUAUACAUAGAAAUAAUACAAAAGCGGAAAAUAAUCUUUUUUCCCUGUAAGAAAACAUGAUGCUAUUUCGAUUGCUUCAGACAGGGGACAUGUAAUACACUGAGACUCAUGCAAAAGAAUUAUUGCUAGAACAGAAACAUUACAAACUAAAAACAUUAGCACACUUCAGGGUAUAAGGAAUCAAACAUACUAUAUCAGAAAUUAAUGUCUGACAAAAAAAAAAAGCAAUUCAGUAUUUUCUGAUUUGACUGUCUACAGGGAGAAUUAUAACCCUGUUUGGAGCUUUUAUAACAUUUCUUCAAGAGCAGUUCUGCCUUAGAAUCAUCAUUAGUAGUGAAAACUAAUAUGAAACAUACAAUUUUUCAACUUUAGCUACUUUCGAAAGGGUGGCUGUCAUCACAAAAUGUGACAGGCAUUACACAAGGCAAUGCCUUUAUGCUUUUGUAAGUUGGAUUUUGCAGGUGACGGUACCGUACUCAACCAAACAACAGAGAAAAAUUAAAAUUACAUAUUACAUUGCAGAAUUUUUAAAAAGUUUCUCAGGAAAACAAAACAAAACCCAAACUGCAAACAUGUACAAAUUUAAGAAGCAAAAGCAAUGCAAAGCCAUUAGAGAAGUCUGCACAUUAGAGCUCACUCUGUUGGCUUGCUAGUGUUUGGUGUAGUGGUACACUUUAAAACAGAGAAGGGGAUGUUUUGGAAUUCAUUUUCUUGAAAGAAAGAGGAGAAAUGUUACGCCAUUCAUCAUGUUAAUACUGGCAUAAGUUUCCAGUAGUAGCUUUUAACUAUGCUCUAGUUAAGGUAGUACUGCUUUAUAACACUAGCUUUAAAUUGGAGAGCAUGGACUAAAGCUAUCUCAUUAGAAGAAAAACAGAGGCAUACUACUUAUUCUCAAAGAACUUUCACAGUCUGCUGAACUAGAUCACCACUGAACAUGGCUGAGAUAUCCCAAAUAGGACAAUCCUCUUCUACCAGAAUACAAAAGAUGCACUGAUAAAAUGCAGAAGAAAGUCAACCAUAUUGGAACUUGACAUGAAACAAACAGCUACGGCAAUUCCCAAAAUAGUCUAGAAUUCCUCUUAUCAACUUCUCCAAGAAGAUUAUUUCUAUAUGACUUCUCCAACUUAUCCCUGGCACACUGAAUUCUUCAAUGUUUAUUCAAAAAAUUCUGUUUACAUUCAUGCAAUCACUAAUUACUACUUUAUUCCUUAUGUUUGAAUAUUUCUAAAAUGCAGUUUUACUUCUAACAGAAUAAAAUAGAAACUUUCUAAGCUGCAUAACAGUUAUUUCUACUUUGAUAUCCAAAUCAAAUUUAUUAAAUGGCAGCUAAAUUAUUAAAGAAUAACUGCUGCUCAGCUUCUUCAUGUAAGUAGUAUUCCACUAGAAAACUGUUUCUGUUCUUUCAAUGACUGUAGUACAAUACAGAUACAGCUAUUUUAAGUGUUUAAAAAUCUGUUUUACAUAAAAUUGAUAUUAAAAAGCUAUGGCUUAAAAUGUGUAUUACAAAAUUGCUGAAAAAAGUAUCUUUAUCAUCACAAUUUAUCAAAAAUAAAAAGACAAACGUUUUUCUUUUUUCAAAAGGCUUUCUAUCUUGCACAAACCUCUAUAGAUACACUGCUAUAAAUUAUAGUGUCUUUCUCAGAAGCUGUAUCACAGAAACUAAACCACCAAAGUGGUCAUAAGCUUAAGAAAUUAAAUGAAAUUUCUUGACUACUGAGUCACUAGGUAAGAGGUGGUAAGGAAUUUAAGAAAUGGAAAAUACAGUGAAUUAUUUAUUUCAACAUAUGAUGAGCUUAAAUGUAUGUCAAAUUAUCUUUCAUUUCCAUCACCUGUAACAUUUGGCUUCCGGUUCCAUCUCUUAAUCUGUAAGGUCUAAUAACUCCAUCUUCACCAAAGAAGCGAGGCGGGCGCAGGCUUAUCACAUCUUCUGAUGAAUCUGUAACUCUGACAACAGAGCCACAAAUUUAAGGUAUGUGUUGUUAUUUAUAUUCAGAUAUAAU
ensembl:lncRNA